rnacentral:rRNA from 1 species
UACGGAGGGUGCAAGCGUUGUCCAGAUUUAUUGGGUUAAAGGGUGCGUAGGCGGCUUAUUAAGUCAGGGGUGGAAGACUGCAGCUCAACUGUAGCAGUGCCUUUGAUACUGAUGAGCUUGAGUACAGAUGAGGCUGGCGGAAUGGGUGGUGUAGCGGUGAAAUGCAUAGAUACCAUCCAGAACACCGAUUGCGAAGGCAGCCGGCUAAACUGUAACUGACGCUGAGGCACGAAAGCGUGGGGAUCGAACAGG